GAUGAACGCUGGCGGCGUGCCUAAUACAUGCAAGUCGAGCGAACAGCCGAGGAGCUUGCUCAUCUGACGUUAGCGGCGGACGGGUGAGUAACACGUGGAUAACCUACCUAUAAGACUCGGAUAACUUCGGGAAACCGGAGCUAUUACCGGAUAAUAUAUUGAACCGCAUGGUUCAAUAGUGAAAGACGGUUUUGCUGUCACUCAUAGAUUGAUCCGCGCCGCAUUAGCUAGUUGGUAAGGUAACGGCUUACCAAGGCGACGAUGCGUAGACGACCUGUGAGGAGGGUCGGCCACACUGGAACUGAAACACGGUCCAGACUCGUACGGGAGGCAGCAGAAGGGAAUCGACCGCAAUGGGAGAAAGGCUGACGGAACAACGCCGCGUGGGUGAUAAAGAUAUUCGGAUCGUAAAACUCUGUUAUUAGGGAAGAACAAAUAUGUAAGGAACUAGGCACGUCUUGACGGUACCUAAUCAGAAAGCCACGGCUAACUACGUG
rnacentral:rRNA from 1 species